GCCUUCGUGGUGUAAUGGUCAGCACAUUGAGCCGGUAUUUCAUAUUUCAGAGGUCCGUGGUUCGAUCCCCGGCGAAGGCA
rnacentral:tRNA from 1 species